ensembl:misc_RNA
UUGACCAUGUUAGAAAUCAAAAUCCUCCGCUUAUCCACAGAACAGGUACAGCACAGGCAGUGGCAGUUCAAACUUCUCCUACGGUACUGACAAAAUGCUUCAGCCCUCAUCUCCAAGACAGAGUUGAUAGCGCCCAUUUCCAAGCCCAUUUAGUCAUUUGUGUUG